GCCGUUUCGGAGGAGUAUGCAGACUAACAUUGUGACACGGGAUUUUAUAUAUAAGAAGUUACAAUCGACUAUUCCAUUUAUAAGUUAGUUAAUCAGGAAAUAUAGAAAUAGUGGUAAAGUAGUCGACUGAACGUCUCGUUAAUAUUAUUUUUGGAAUAAUUAAUCACGUUUAAAAUCCAUUUAGGUAUUUUACACACAUCAACAAAGUCUAGGGAUAUUUGGUAUUGCAUUAAAUAUCUCAAAAUCUAUGGAGAAUUUUGUGAUAUUGUAAAUGGAAUAAUUAUAGCUCAUUUUAAAGUCUUUAGUAAAAAGUAAAAACAAUUCAUGAUU